UACAGAGGGUGCAAGCGUUAAUCGGAAUUACUGGGCGUAAAGCGCGCGUAGGUGGUUUGUUAAGUUGGAUGUGAAAGCCCCGGGCUCAACCUGGGAACUGCAUUCAAAACUGACAAGCUAGAGUAUGGUAGAGGGUGGUGGAAUUUCCUGUGUAGCGGUGAAAUGCGUAGAUAUAGGAAGGAACACCAGUGGCGAAGGCGACCACCUGGACUGAUACUGACACUGAGGCGCGAAAGCUAGGGGAGCAAACGGG
rnacentral:rRNA from 1 species